rnacentral:rRNA from 1 species
CCUACGGGAGGCUGCAGUGAGGAAUAUUGGUCAAUGGGCGCGAGCCUGAACCAGCCAAGUAGCGUGAAGGAUGACUGCCCUACGGGUUGUAAACUUCUUUUAUAAAGGAAUAAAGUGAGGCACGUGUGCCUUUUUGUAUGUACUUUAUGAAUAAGGAUAGGCUAACGCCGUGCCAGCAGCCGCGGUAAUACGGAGGAUCCGAGCGUUAUCCGGAAUGAUUGGGGUGAAAGGGAGCGUAGAUGGGUUGUUAAGUCAGUUGUGAAAGUUUGCGGCUCAAACGUAAAAUUGCAAUUGAUACUGGGAGUCUAGAGUACAGUAGAGGUAGGCGGAAUUCGAGGUGGAGCGGUGAAAUGCAUAGAUAUCACGAAGAACACCGAUGGCGAAGGCAGCUUACUAGACUGCAACUGACGUUGAGGCACGAAAGUGUGGGUAGCAAACAGGAUUAGAUACCCGAGUAGUC